rnacentral:lncRNA from 1 species
UUCAAACAAAUCUGGUUUCAAAUUAUAAAGUUGGUCACAAGCUUUCCAAUAGCCCAAGAUUCAUCGGAAUAAGACUUACGGUUAUAAAGUUCAAAUCGGGGGAAUGUUGCUCCAGAAAGUGAUGAUUGUGUCCUUGCGCAAUGCUACAAGUGUUGGGCCAUUGAGCAGGCCGUGUUGUGGCCCGACAGGCCCCAGGUGCAGCUUGAUGAUGCAAAAAACUCAUUUCAAUUUAGAUAAAUCCAAAAACAUUGGGAAAAAUCCAAAAACAUUGGGAAAAAUCCAAAAAAAUAAAGAAAAAAUACCCAAACCUAAUCCUAAUUGAACUAUGAAAUUCCCUACCUCAAAUCUAUAAAUACCUCCAAAACCCAAAAAAUACAGGAGAAAAGGACAAAAAAAUCUGUAGAAAAUAAGACACAAUUCUUGAAAUUAAGAAA